rnacentral:rRNA from 1 species
GACGAACGCUGGCGGCGUGCUUAACACAUGCAAGUCGAACGGAAAGGCCCUGCUUUUGUGGGGUGCUCGAGUGGCGAACGGGUGAGUAACACGUGAGUAACCUGCCCUGGACUUUGGGAUAACUUCAGGAAACUGGGGCUAAUACCGGAUAGGAGCUCCUGCUGCAUGGUGGGGGUUGGAAAGUGUCGGCGGUUGGGGAUGGACUCGCGGCUUAUCAGCUUGUUGGUGGGGUAGUGGCUUACCAAGGCGUUGACGGGUAGCCGGCCUGAGAGGGUGACCGGCCACAUUGGGACUGAGAUACGGCCCAGACUCCUACGGGAGGCAGCAGUGGGGAAUAUUGCACAAUGGGCGGAAGCCUGAUGCAGCAACGCCGCGUGCGGGAUGACGGCCUUCGGGUUGUAAACCGCUUUCGCCUGUGACGAAGCGUGAGUGACGGUAAUGUGUAAAGAAGCACCGGCUAACUACGUG